GCGGGAAUAGCUCAGUUGGUAGAGCACGACCUUGCCAAGGCCGGGGUCGCGAGUUCGAGUCUCGUUUCCCGCUCCA
rnacentral:tRNA from 5 species